ACAAAAUCCUGGCAUCUAAGGGAUUCUCCAUUUAAUGAAUACAAAAAGAAGCAAAAUGUCAUGCCCAGGUGCACUCUGAAUCAAGCCAUGUGGAUACAAACAUGGUCCCCACUCCAUGCUUCCAUCUGCACACCGGCAAAACUGAACACAGCUGAUUGCAGGCACUGCUGACUACGCUUGCCAGGGACCAAACAUGAACCAUGGAAAAAUACUAGCUAAUGAGGUGACCAUAUGGUUCUGGUCUUUCAGUUUGUAUACAUGGUUCAUUACAUUGAUUGAUUUACCCAUGUCUCUAGAAUAAUGCUAACUUGGUCAUGAUGGAUAAUCUUUUUUAUGUGCUCUUGAAUUUGGUUUUUUAAGUAUUUGUUGAGAAUUGUUCCAGCUAUCUUCAUAAGGCUUGCUGGUCUAUAAUUUCCUUUAUUGUUGAGUCUUUGUGUGGUUUAGUUUUCAGGAUAAUAUUGGCUUUAUAAAAAGAAUUAUGUAGUGUUCCUUCAGUUUCUAUUUUUUUGUAGUAAUUUGAGGAGUAAUGGAGUUAAUUCUUCUUUAAGGCCUGAUAGAAUUCUGUGCUGAAUUCAUCUGUCCAUGAACUUUUUUUGGAGUAGGAGACUUUUAAUGCUUUUAUUUUACUAGGUGUUAUUUCACUAGGAGGUUUUCCAGUUUGGUAGAGUACAGAAUUUUUAAGUUGAACCGGAAUAUCCAACUGUCACACCUUCCCCAACCGAUGUACAAAAGUUCCCGAAUUCCUUGGCGAAGGUGGAACCUGGAAUACACAGACACG